rnacentral:rRNA from 1 species
CCUACGGGUGGCAGCAGUGAGGAAUAUUGGUCAAUGGGAGAGAUCCUGAACCAGCCAAGCCGCGUGAGGGAAGACGGCCCUAUGGGUUGUAAACCUCUUUUGCCGGAGAACAAAACCCGGGACGUGUCCCGGACUGCGUGUAUCCGAAGAAAAAGCAUCGGCUAACUCCGUGCCAGCAGCCGCGGUAAUACGGAGGAUGCGAGCGUUAUCCGGAUUUAUUGGGGCUAAAGGGUGCGUAGGCGGUCCGUUAAGUCAGCGGGAAAAUUGCGGGGCUCAACCCCGUCGAGCCGUUGAAACUGGCAGACUUGAGUUGGCGAGAAGUACGCGGAAUGCGCGGUGUAGCGGUGAAAUGCAUAGAUAUCGCGCAGAACUCCGAUUGCGAAGGCAGCGUACCGGCGCCAGACUGACGCUGAGGCACGAAAGCGUGGGGAUCGAACAGGAUUAGAUACCCUGGUAGUC